CAGAACAUGCAUCACACAUAGAUCUUUGUGGAAUUCAAUUCCUGGCAUGGGUGUACAAGAGAUUAUUUAAUUUCCAAUAUCCAUCACUAGAGAUAACAUUAGAAUAGUCUCAUGGCAGUCUGCAUCAACAGUGGUGUGCUCAGCUUUCAAGUGAAUCCCACAGUCCUUUCCA
rnacentral:lncRNA from 12 species